rnacentral:lncRNA from 1 species
GUUUUAUGCUAAUUAAAUAAAAUGUCCUUCCCUUUGCACCUCUCAGAGGCUGCUUCGCUUUCGGAAACCGCUUUUUGUGGGCGGCCUCAGCAGGUUGGGGAGCAGAGGGCAGCAGGCGAGGCUCAGACACCCAGCGCCGCUUCACCCAGUUUUACCUCCAGGAAAAAAAAAUAUAUAUAUAUAAAAUAAUAAUAAUUUCCUUUUUCUGCCCCUGCACCUGGCUCUGCUGCUCCCUGGGGACUGCUGGCAAUGGCACUGACAACGGUUUACACCGACCUGGAGUUGCCGCCGGGUCCCAGAGGCAUCCCACAGCUCCCAAAGCCUCCCGGUCGCCGGUGGUACUGGGUGAUAAUGGGAACCGGAUGGGUUGGGGCCGCCGUCCUGGCGGGCAUCGUGGUGUGGCUGCUGCAGCGACACGAUGGAAACAGCCUCAAUCCCACUGGCUCGUGCUCCUGGGAAUCCUGCCUGGGCAAGGACACCCCCAGCUCCAACUGCUCCCUGAACUACUUCCAGCUGGGGCUCAGAGAGCGGCUGUGCGAGGCCAAGAGCCACCAGACACCAGGUAGCCCACGCUGUUAUGGGGGUGUUGGCUUGCUUUGGGCCCCUCCAUGAAGAAAAUGGGGCCCAACGGUGAAGGAAAGCCCCCUUGGACUCCCCAUCCUGCUGCUUUCCCUCCGUGUUGUCACCUUUAUCCUUCCCCUCUCCAUGCACCCCUCUUUGUCCCUUCAACCUCUGCUCCUAUCCCUCCAACCCCAGCUUUCCCCCCAGUUCUCAUAAAGAUUUUUCUCCUAAAAAACAAAAGGGGUUGAGAAAAGCUUGGGAGGGACCUGGGGAGGGGUCUCCCAGCUUCGCCCC